rnacentral:rRNA from 1 species
UACGAAGGGGCUAGCGUUGCUCGGAAUCACUGGGCGUAAAGGGUGCGUAGGCGGGUCUUUAAGUCAGGGGUGAAAUCCUGGAGCUCAACUCCAGAACUGCCUUUGAUACUGAGGAUCUUGAGUUCGGGAGAGGUGAGUGGAACUGCGAGUGUAGAGGUGAAAUUCGUAGAUAUUCGCAAGAACACCAGUGGCGAAGGCGGCUCACUGGCCCGAUACUGACGCUGAGGCACGAAAGCGUGGGGAGCAA